UACGGGAGGCAGCAGUGGGGAAUAUUGCACAAUGGGCGAAAGCCUGAUGCAGCUAUGCCGCGUGUAUGAAGAAGGCCUUAGGGUUGUAAAGUACUUUCAUCGGGGAGGAAAAACAAAACUAAUAAUUUUAUUUCUUGACGUUACCCGAAAAAGAAGCACCGGCUAACUCCGUGCCAGCAGCCGCGGUAAUACGGAGGGUGCUAGCGUUAAUCAGAAUUACUGGGCGUAAAGAGCACGUAGGUGGUUUUUUUAAGUCAGAUGUGAAAUCCCUGGGCUUAACCUAGGAACUGCAUUUUGAAACUGAAAUACUAGAGUAUCGUAGAGGGAGGUAGAAUUCUAGGUGUAGCGGUGAAAUGCGUAGAUAUCUGGAGGAAUACCUGUGGCGAAAGCGGCCUCCUAAACGAAUACUGACACUGAGGUGCGAAAGCGUGGGAAGCAAACAGGGAUUAGAUACC
rnacentral:rRNA from 1 species